rnacentral:rRNA from 1 species
UAAGCGGAGGAAAAGAAACUAACAAGGAUUCCCCUAGUAACUGCGAGUGAAGCGGGAAAAGCUCAAAUUUAAAAUCUGGCGGUCUUUGGCCGUCCGAGUUGUAAUUUAGAGAAGCGUCUUCCGCGCUGGACCGUGCACAAGUCUCCUGGAAUGGAGCGUCAUAGAGGGUGAGAAUCCCGUCUUUGGCACGGAUGCCUGGUGCUUCUGUGAUGCGCUCUCGAAGAGUCGAGUUGUUUGGGAAUGCAGCUCAAAAUGGGUGGUGAACUCCAUCUAAAGCUAAAUAUUGGCGAGAGACCGAUAGCGAACAAGUACCGUGAGGGAAAGAUGAAAAGCACUUUGGAAAGAGAGUGAAACAGUACUUGAAAUUGUUGAAAGGGAAACGCUUGAAGUCAGUCGCGUCGACCGAGACUCAGCCUUGCCUUGGCUUGGUGUACUUCUCGGCCCGACGGGUCAGCAUCAAUUUUGCCCCUCGGAUAAUGGCAAGGGAAAGGUGGCACCUUUACGGGUGUGUUAUAGUCUCCUGUCGAAUGCGAGGGGUGGGAUUGAGGAACUCAGCGCGCACCUCAGUGUCGGGGCUUCGGCCCACGUCACGCGCUUAGGAUGCUGGCGUAAUGGCUUUAAACGACC